GACGAACGCUGGCGGCGUGCCUAACACAUGCAAGUCUAACGAGAAAGGGGUAGCAAUAUCCUGAGUACAGUAGCGCACGGGUGAGUAACACGUAGGCAAUUUGCCUUCAGGACGGGGACAACCUCGAGAAAUCGGGGCUAAUACCCGAUAAUGCACCGGCACCGCAUGGUGACAGUUGUUAAAGGCCCGCAAGGGCGCCCGGAGAUGAGCCUGCGUCCCAUUAGGUAGUUGGUGAGGUAACGGCCCACCAAGCCUACGAUGGGUAGCUGGUCUGAGAGGAUGAUCAGCCACACUGGAACUGAGACACGGUCCAGACUCCUACGGGAGGCAGCAGUGAGGAAUAUUGCGCAAUGGCCGAAAGGCUGACGCAGCGACGCCGCGUGAAGGAUGAAGUCCGUUAGGAUGUAGACUUCUUUUGCAGGGGAAGAAUGUGGCGCCUUGGGCGCCAUUGACGGUACCCUGCGAAUAAGGGUCGGCUAACUACGUGCC
rnacentral:rRNA from 1 species